rfam:Tupaia belangeri cont1.835883, whole genome shotgun sequence.
UAGAACUGACCAGCUCUGAGUAGGCGGACAAGAUAAGAUUCUGGUGCUAAAUAGCUAAGUAUAUGACCCUGAUUCAUA